UACGUAGGUGGCAAGCGUUGUCCGGAAUGAUUGGGCGUAAAGCGUCUGUAGGUGGCUUUUUAAGUCCGCCGUCAAAUCCCAGGGCUCAACUCUGGACAGGCGGUGGAAACUACCAAGCUGGAGUACGGUAGGGGCAGAGGGAAUUUCCGGUGGAGCGGUGAAAUGCGCAGAUAUCAGGAAGAACACCAAUGGCGAAGGCAGCUCUCUGGGACGGUACUGACGCUGAGACGCGAAAGCGUGGGGAGCGAACAGG
rnacentral:rRNA from 1 species